UACGAAGGGGGCUAGCGUUGCUCGGAAUGACUGGGCGUAAAGGGCGCGUAGGCGGUUUGUACAGUCAGGUGUGAAAUUCCCGGGCUCAACCUGGGGGCUGCACUUGAUACGUAUGGACUGGAGUGGGGAAGAGGGUCGUGGAAUUCCCAGUGUAGAGGUGAAAUUCGUAGAUAUUGGGAAGAACACCGGUGGCGAAAGCGGCUCACUGGACCAUUACUGACGCUGAUGCACGAAAGCUAGGGGAGCAAACAGG
rnacentral:rRNA from 1 species